AUCUCGUCGUUAGAAAAAAAGAGACGCAAAAAGAAGAAAAAUCGUAAGAUGGAAAUAAUUCAAGAGGAUUUACAAUGUUCUCAAGUUUGAAGCGUUCGAAAAGCGUUGGAGGGAAGGGAAUUUGCAAGCGAUAUCCAUUCGAUCACCAUCGAUGGGAAAGUUGGCGCAUUAAUUGAACGAGACACCGAUGUCGUUCCCGGACGUUACAAACUUGGCUACGAUCGAGAGGGAGCGCCGACGACCGAUUAUAUUCGCAAAACAGCUCGUGCUUGGAUUGGCGCGUCGCCGCCGCCGCCGCACAGAUGCUUGGCCUCCUUUUACGACUUUGCCACGUAAACGGAAGCGUCCUUAACAGGCAUCCGGCGCAUGGUCACGGUAUUCAGGGCCGUGGAUAUUUUCCGCGAUCGAACGCGUGUUUGGGAACGACACGCGCUUUUACGAUCACCGAAGAUCGCGUCUUUUAAAGCGUUUUUCCUUCGUGCUGAAAAGUGGGCCCGCCGUUUCCUCUUCACGAAGUACGACGGGGCGCAAUGUGUUUCGUUUAACACGAAUACGUCGGUGGAGGAGAGGAGAUGCUCGUGGAUCUUUUUUAAACGGCAGUGUAUCCCUCAAACUCCUUCUCCUCCGACCAUUUAUCCCAUCUGUUCACUAAAUAUUUAUCACGGAUUAACACGUGUCCCUUGGUUUUGUAGCUGCUCGGGAAGUCAUUAAAUACGUGAAAUUUUUCUUUCCGUUUUUUUCUCAGCGAUAUUCGGAUCAAUUUUGCUAUGAUUCACAGGCAUUGCAAUCUCAUUCUCGUUGUGAAUAUCGAUGAAAAAAGUAUUUAGAUCGAUACACGAUGGAAAAUAAUUUCCUAAUAACCGAAACGAGAUAUACAAUACAAUGAUUGAUAGAACCAAUCCAUCGAAUUCAAAUAUCAGACAAAUCAAAUUUAUCGUUUCGAUUGAAUCAUUGAAAAAGGGAGCCACGUUUAUUUUAGAUAGAAAGUCUAAUCGAGGCCGAUUCGAUCUCGACGAACGAGAUGAGAUAUUUUGCUUGCUAAGAAAGGUUAACUUCCUCGCUACUUUCGUCUAUCGCGAGACACGCGAAAGUUAAACUUACUGGGACAUUAGGCUUGGGUCCCGCGUUAAGUAUGCCGAUACAAAAGGGGUCGGCACUGGCCCUCUCCAAAUAAAUCUGCCUUCACCAGACCAGUCUUCCUCCCUCCUCCUCCUCCUUCUCCUCGAUCGUGCCUCGGCCGUGGAAUCGGCCGAUGGUAAAAUGGUUGAAUUGCGACUUCAUUAGCCGCGACUUUGCGCUCGCUGUAAUUCCGCUGCGUUCCUCUCCUUUCGUCGCUUCGAAGGCAGAGGAUGGUCGAGGAGGAGAGGGGGGAGGAAGAGGUGGAAGAAUGGAUAAACAGGGUAAAAAGGAGGGGUGAGGGAGUCGUUCGCCACCUCCACCUGCGUCGCCAUCCACCACCACCACCAUUCCGUGUUUCGUGGGCCGAAAAAGCCGAGCGGAGAUUCGACAAAAGAAUGGACAGGUACGAGCGAAGGAGAGGAGGAGAGAGGAUGGAGGAAGCGUACGUACACGCGUGCACCCAGUGUGUCGACGAGGAGGGGGUGAAGGGAGAAUGGUUGGAAGGGAAGGGGCAGGAAUGAAAAGCGAAGAAAAAAAAUGGAACGUUCCGUAGAUCGCACGCCAUGGGACGACGACUGGCCCCCCUCUCUCUUUCUCUCUCUCUCUUCCCCCCCUCUCUUCAUUCUCUUUGUCCCUCUUAUCUUUUCUGCCUCUCCGUGUUUGUCUCUCCCCUGCCCUCGCCGCCUCCCUUCGCCCUCUUCCUUCUCCUUCCUUCACGGCUUCAUCCUGUACAGUGCGUGGCGCAAACGCGCGAUGAUGGUGUCGCGGAACCGCGAACCGCAGACUUCUUGCGACCGCGUUCUCCAACGCCUCUAACUUCGCUCCUCCCGGGGAUCUCGUCGAAGAUGGUCUUCAAAUUAAACUCCUUCUUGUUGAAGAAUAUCGAUCGGGUCUUUGUUUCGGCAAUUACGGCCGAGCUGAAACUGGAAUACGUUAUUACUUGGAAUACCUGCAUAUACUUAUACAUUAUAAAGAAACUUGAAAAUUCGAAGGAAAAAUUCCCUCGAAUAUAUUAUGCAAGAUUUAUGCAGAUAUAUCGUUUAAGCGAGUUAAAACUGGCGCAUCAAGAGUUCAUUAUUUACUCGAGAGAACCUCGCGACGCAUCGAAAAGAGGAAAACGGAGGAAGUCUGGAGGAGGACGAAAAAGGAAGGAAGGAAGGAAGGAAGAAAGGAAGGAGAAAGGAGCGGUGGUGGCAGGAAGAAGGAGGCAAAGGGACGGGGGUAAAAGGAGCGGCAAAGGAGAGAGACGCAGAGAAAGAGAGAGAGAGAAAGAGCAGUUUCAUCUCUGCCAAGUUUUCGUGGCGGAUAAUGGCGAGAAUACAAUGCACCGACGCGAAUUCCAGAAGUUGCGCCGAAUGCGGGGCGCCUUUUGAUUAUCUCGACUGUACCUGGGCUCCUCCGGAGUUUGUAUCGAAGAGGAGCGGGGAGGAGGUGCUCGGAUGGACUCGCAUCAGGCGAGAAGAGGACGAGAGAGGACGACGGGUGGCGAGGUGAACGCGAGAAUGCUCGAUCUCUGUAGGAAACAGAGAGAGAGAGAGAGAGAGAGAGAGAAGGACGAGUGGCAACCGCGUGCACGAUGGACCGAUCAAGCAUACGGGGCCAGGCUCAUUAUAACCUUUAUGACUGGUCAUUUGGCCGGGCCCGAGUCUUAACACGAAUGCCGACAUGCAAAGGACGCAUCAUUGUCCGUUACCCCAUCGCCGAAUGGGUCUAUCCGCGCGCCGUUAUUACGGAUCAACUUCUCUCCGCGCAAAAAACGAUCGGUGCCCUGUGAGCAAACAAAGUUGCAGCCUGUUCCAGAGAUGUUACGCGUGAUGAUCGUGCAGGAUUUCUUCUCGUUUCGAUCGUUUCGAGGCUCGAGAAGGUAACGGAGCGAUGGAAUAUCCCAGAAUAAAUUGUCCGAUUGGUUUUUCGAGGAACGAAAUCGAGUCGAAGGGAUUGAAAUUGUUGAGGGAUAUUGAAUGUUUAAUGCGUUUGAAGAAAUUGAUGUCUUCCUCGAAGGGAUAGGAUUUAAUAAUAAUAGACCAGAGAGUGAGUGGGCUGGAGGUAUGAUGACUUGUUUCGUCUUCGUUACGCGUUUAAAGAAUAUAAUUAUCGCUCGUCCGAGCUUUAUUUUAUAGAAGAUAGGCGAGUAAACUUUUAUUCGAUUCGUUAUCCAAAUAUAGAGGAUAAACUAUAAUUGAAUGAUGCAUUAAUUAUUCGUCCCGGUAGAUAAAUACAAGAAUUCUAUUGUACAAACGUAACAAACUCUGAAUGUUUAUUAUCAAUACGAGUAAUUUAUAGUACAAAAUGAUCAAUAUUGUAUAUUGCGCGUUUACUCGAGUCGAAUAUAUCGAGGAUAAAAUAGAUAAUCACGUCGAAUCUUUCCCGCUAUUACACUCGUAACAAUAUCUAUUCUUACAUUCCUCUACCGAAUGUUUUUCAUUGAAACGAAAGUAGAUAGAUCAAGACCGGUAUCCGACGCGAAGUUUAAUAAUGGCUCGGUAUGAUAAUCGAGGUA